UUAAAUGAUUAUAAAUUUCACUUUAAUAUUUAUCAACAUAAAAACAAAAUUCUCGUAAUACCAUGUAUUUAAUUUCAAACCCAUUAAAAUAUACUAAAUGUCUUAAACCGACGCAUAGGUUUGCGGAUUUUAAAGGGAACGAUGAACACGACUGCUACUCGGAGAAUUAUAUCAAAUGUUUUUGGGAUAUAUGCGACUACCAUAAAAGCAUAGAAAGUUUUGUUACCAAGCCAAAAGAACAAGUAAUCGUACAACAACCGAGAAGGCAACAUAAAAUGUUAUGAAGAAAUAAAUUCAAACUUAAACUUUAACCUUUGAAGCCUAAAAUGGACACUGGACUAUGAAAAAUAAAAUAAUUAUCAAUAAAUAUCAUUUAAUAAACUCUACAUCAUGUAAACUUU